GGGUUGUGAGGUUAAGCGACUAAGCGUACACGGUGGAUGCCCUGGCAGUCAGAGGCGAUGAAGGACGUGCUAAUCUGCGAUAAGCGUCGGUAAGGUGAUAUGAACCGUUAUAACCGGCGAUUUCCGAAUGGGGAAACCCAGUGUGAUUCGUCACACUAUCAUUAACUGAAUCCAUAGGUUAAUGAGGCGAACCGGGGGAACUGAAACAUCUAAGUACCCCGAGGAAAAGAAAUCAACCGAGAUUCCCCCAGUAGCGGCGAGCGAACGGGGAGCAGCCCAGAGCCUGAAUCAGUGUGUGUGUUAGUGGAAGCGUCUGGAAAGGCGCGCGAUACAGGGUGACAGCCCCGUACACAAAAAUGCACAUGCUGUGAGCUCGAUGAGUAGGGCGGGACACGUGGUAUCCUGUCUGAAUAUGGGGGGACCAUCCUCCAAGGCUAAAUACUCCUGACUGACCGAUAGUGAACCAGUACCGUGAGGGAAAGGCGAAAAGAACCCCGGCGAGGGGAGUGAAAAAGAACCUGAAACCGUGUACGUACAAGCAGUGGGAGCACGCUUAGGCGUGUGACUGCGUACCUUUUGUAUAAUGGGUCAGCGACUUAUAUUCUGUAGCAAGGUUAACCGAAUAGGGGAGCCGAAGGGAAACCGAGUCUUAACUGGGCGUUAAGUUGCAGGGUAUAGACCCGAAACCCGGUGAUCUAGCCAUGGGCAGGUUGAAGGUUGGGUAACACUAACUGGAGGACCGAACCGACUAAUGUUGAAAAAUUAGCGGAUGACUUGUGGCUGGGGGUGAAAGGCCAAUCAAACCGGGAGAUAGCUGGUUCUCCCCGAAAGCUAUUUAGGUAGCGCCUCGUGAAUUCAUCUCCGGGGGUAGAGCACUGUUUCGGCAAGGGGGUCAUCCCGACUUACCAACCCGAUGCAAACUGCGAAUACCGGAGAAUGUUAUCACGGGAGACACACGGCGGGUGCUAACGUCCGUCGUGAAGAGGGAAACAACCCAGACCGCCAGCUAAGGUCCCAAAGUCAUGGUUAAGUGGGAAACGAUGUGGGAAGGCCCAGACAGCCAGGAUGUUGGCUUAGAAGCAGCCAUCAUUUAAAGAAAGCGUAAUAGCUCACUGGUCGAGUCGGCCUGCGCGGAAGAUGUAACGGGGCUAAACCAUGCACCGAAGCUGCGGCAGCGACGCUUAUGCGUUGUUGGGUAGGGGAGCGUUCUGUAAGCCUGUGAAGGUGUACUGUGAGGUAUGCUGGAGGUAUCAGAAGUGCGAAUGCUGACAUAAGUAACGAUAAAGCGGGUGAAAAGCCCGCUCGCCGGAAGACCAAGGGUUCCUGUCCAACGUUAAUCGGGGCAGGGUGAGUCGACCCCUAAGGCGAGGCCGAAAGGCGUAGUCGAUGGGAAACAGGUUAAUAUUCCUGUACUUGGUGUUACUGCGAAGGGGGGACGGAGAAGGCUAUGUUGGCCGGGCGACGGUUGUCCCGGUUUAAGCGUGUAGGCUGGUUUUCCAGGCAAAUCCGGAAAAUCAAGGCUGAGGCGUGAUGACGAGGCACUACGGUGCUGAAGCAACAAAUGCCCUGCUUCCAGGAAAAGCCUCUAAGCAUCAGGUAACAUCAAAUCGUACCCCAAACCGACACAGGUGGUCAGGUAGAGAAUACCAAGGCGCUUGAGAGAACUCGGGUGAAGGAACUAGGCAAAAUGGUGCCGUAACUUCGGGAGAAGGCACGCUGAUAUGUAGGUGAAGUCCCUUGCGGAUGGAGCUGAAAUCAGUCGAAGAUACCAGCUGGCUGCAACUGUUUAUUAAAAACACAGCACUGUGCAAACACGAAAGUGGACGUAUACGGUGUGACGCCUGCCCGGUGCCGGAAGGUUAAUUGAUGGGGUUAGCGCAAGCGAAGCUCUUGAUCGAAGCCCCGGUAAACGGCGGCCGUAACUAUAACGGUCCUAAGGUAGCGAAAUUCCUUGUCGGGUAAGUUCCGACCUGCACGAAUGGCGUAAUGAUGGCCAGGCUGUCUCCACCCGAGACUCAGUGAAAUUGAACUCGCUGUGAAGAUGCAGUGUACCCGCGGCAAGACGGAAAGACCCCGUGAACCUUUACUAUAGCUUGACACUGAACAUUGAGCCUUGAUGUGUAGGAUAGGUGGGAGGCUUGGAAGUGUGGACGCCAGUCUGCAUGGAGCCGACCUUGAAAUACCACCCUUUAAUGUUUGAUGUUCUAACGUUGACCCGUAAUCCGGGUUGCGGACAGUGUCUGGUGGGUAGUUUGACUGGGGCGGUCUCCUCCUAAAGAGUAACGGAGGAGCACGAAGGUUGGCUAAUCCUGGUCGGACAUCAGGAGGUUAGUGCAAUGGCAUAAGCCAGCUUGACUGCGAGCGUGACGGCGCGAGCAGGUGCGAAAGCAGGUCAUAGUGAUCCGGUGGUUCUGAAUGGAAGGGCCAUCGCUCAACGGAUAAAAGGUACUCCGGGGAUAACAGGCUGAUACCGCCCAAGAGUUCAUAUCGACGGCGGUGUUUGGCACCUCGAUGUCGGCUCAUCACAUCCUGGGGCUGAAGUAGGUCCCAAGGGUAUGGCUGUUCGCCAUUUAAAGUGGUACGCGAGCUGGGUUUAGAACGUCGUGAGACAGUUCGGUCCCUAUCUGCCGUGGGCGCUGGAGAACUGAGGGGGGCUGCUCCUAGUACGAGAGGACCGGAGUGGACGCAUCACUGGUGUUCGGGUUGUCAUGCCAAUGGCACUGCCCGGUAGCUAAAUGCGGAAGAGAUAAGUGCUGAAAGCAUCUAAGCACGAAACUUGCCCCGAGAUGAGUUCUCCCUGACUCCUUGAGAGUCCUGAAGGAACGUUGAAGACGACGACGUUGAUAGGCCGGGUGUGUAAGCGCAGCGAUGCGUUGAGCUAACCGGUACUAAUGAACCGUGAGGCUUAACCUUACAACGCCGAAG
rnacentral:rRNA from 1 species